rnacentral:rRNA from 1 species
GACGAACGCUGGCGGCGUGCCUAAUACAUGCAAGUGGGACGCAAGGAAACACACUGUGCUUGCACACCGUGUUUUCUUGAGUCGCGAACGGGUGAGUAACGCGUAGGUAACCUUCCUAUUAGCGGGGGAUAACUAUUGGAAACGAUAGCUAAUACCGCAUAAUAUUAAUUAUUGCAUGAUAAUUGAUUGAAAGAUGCAAGCGCAUCACUAGUAGAUGGACCUGCGUUGUAUUAGCUAGUUGGUAAGGUAAGAGCUUACCAAGGCGACGAUACAUAGCCGACCUGAUAGGGUGAUCAGCCGCACUGGGAGUGUGACACGGCCCAGACUCCUACGGGAGGCAGCAGUAGGGAAUCGUCGGCAAUGGGCGAAAGUCUGACCGAGCAACGCCGCGUCAGUGAAGAAGGUUUUCGGGUCGUAAAGCUCUGUUGUAAGUCAAGAACGUGUGUGAGAGUGGAAAGUUCACACAGUGACGGUAGCUUACCAGAAAGGGACGGCUAACUACGUG